UCUCUCCGUAAGAACCAUCCUCGUACUUCAAGGAAUAUUUUAAAAAAAAAUUUAGCGAAAUCGGUCCAACCGUUCUCGAGUUUUGCGCUUAGCAACACAUUCAGCGACUCAUUUUUAUAUUAUAGAUUUAGUUUAUAUAGCGUGAUAUUAAUACAUGUAUAACAUAGUACUCUUGUUACUUUCUUAUUUAAAAAAAUGGAAAUGUAAUCUACUUAUUAACAUUUUUAAGCAGUAAUUAAUUUUCCUCUAAUUUCCCCAGAGGUUUAUCAAACAAAGAGACCUGGAGAAAACGUUUACUUAGAGACAUCUGAAACUCCUUAUGUAGUUCUUGAAACAGAAAGCCCCCCGAAGGAACCAAAACUCUCACAACAGGAACGAGAGUUAGCGCGAACACUAAUCGGUAGAUUUCGUCGAUCAAGAAACAAUACUUCUAUAAAGACACCAUUUUUAAGACCACUAAAUGCAACGGAGCCGGCUUUACUAAAAAGCGCGUCUAAACUGCUUCAUUUUUAGUAUUAUUUUUUGUAUAAUUAUUAUAUUACCGUUUAAAUAAACUAUUAAAACAUUUUA
rnacentral:misc_RNA from 1 species